CCUACGGGUGGCUGCAGUGGGGAAUAUUGGACAAUGGGCGAAAGCCUGAUCCAGCCAUGCCGCGUGUGUGAAGAAGGCCUUCGGGUUGUAAAGCACUUUCAGUGGGGAAGAAAGCCUUGGGGCUAAUACCCUCGAGGAAGGACAUCACCCACAGAAGAAGCACCGGCUAACUCCGUGCCAGCAGCCGCGGUAAUACGGAGGGUGCGAGCGUUAAUCGGAAUUACUGGGCGUAAAGCGCGCGUAGGCGGUCUGAUAAGCCGGUUGUGAAAGCCCCGGGCUCAACCUGGGAACGGCAUCCGGAACUGUCAGGCUAGAGUGCAGGAGAGGAAGGUAGAAUUCCCGGUGUAGCGGUGAGAUGCGUAGAGAUCGGGAGGAAUACCAGUGGCGAAGGCGGCCUUCUGGACUGACACUGACGCUGAGGUGCGAAAGCGUGGGUAGCAAACAGGAUUAGAUACCCCAGUAGUC
rnacentral:rRNA from 1 species